UUUGAAGACGGAAGACGGCAGAGAGAGGGUGCGUAUCACCGUGGCUGUGGCUGGCGGUUGUCCCCCUCUGCCCCUCUUCCCCCUGCCCGCCGCCCUCUCGGCUUGUCUUUCCACCCUGUCCCCAUUCUUCAUUCCACCCCCUGGGGCUGGCCGGCCCCCUGCCCUCCUGUCUCCUCUGUACAACCAGCCCUCUAGGUCCCCCUGCUUACCAAACUCUCCUCCAAGAGGCCUCAACCAUGAGCAACUGCUCCCUCUUCGAAACUCUUAACGCCUCGCCAUCCUCCGAGCCCUGAUUCUCAGACCAGCAGAAUCGGUACCACCUGUGCACUGACUGCGCUAAAGCAUCUCAGCAUCUCGGGCUCCACUGGCUCCCUGCUCCAGGCUCUGAAGAUCCCACUUGCCGAAGGUCAACCAAGCCUGCAAGGUGCAGCUACUGAGUCCGUGUGCCCAGAGCCCAUGCUCUGCAACAAGAGAAGCCACCGCAAUGAGAAGCCCUUGCAUUGCAACUUGAGAGGAGCCCCUGCUUGCCACAACU
rnacentral:lncRNA from 1 species